ACGGGUGCGUAACGCGUGGGAAUCUGCCCUUUGGUUCGGAAUAACAGCUGGAAACGGCUGCUAAUACCGGAUGAUGACGAAAGUCCAAAGAUUUAUCGCCAGAGGAUGAGCCCGCGUUGGAUUAGGUAGUUGGUGGGGUAAAGGCCUACCAAGCCGACGAUCCAUAGCUGGUCUGAGAGGAUGACCAGCCACACUGGGACUGAGACACGGCCCAGACUCCUACGGGAGGCAGCAGUGGGGAAUAUUGGACAAUGGGCGAAAGCCUGAUCCAGCAAUGCCGCGUGAGUGAUGAAGGCCCUAGGGUUGUAAAGCUCUUUUACCCGGGAAGAUAAUGACUGUACCGGGAGAAUAAGCCCCGGCUAACUCCGUGCCAGCAGCCGCGGUAAUACGGAGGGGGCUAGCGUUGUUCGGAAUUACUGGGCGUAAAGCGCACGUAGGCGGCUUUGUAAGUCAGAGGUGAAAGCCUGGAGCUCAACUCCAGAACUGCCUUUGAGACUGCAUCGCUUGAAUCCAGGAGAGGUCAGUGGAAUUCCGAGU
rnacentral:rRNA from 1 species